rnacentral:rRNA from 1 species
AGUGAACGCUGGCGGUAGGCCUAACACAUGCAAGUCGAACGGCAGCACAGUAAGAGCUUGCUCUUACGGGUGGCGAGUGGCGGACGGGUGAGGAAUACAUCGGAAUCUACUUUUUCGUGGGGGAUAACGUAGGGAAACUUACGCUAAUACCGCAUACGACCUACGGGUGAAAGCAGGGGAUCUUCGGACCUUGCGCGAUUGAAUGAGCCGAUGUCGGAUUAGCUAGUUGGCGGGGUAAAGGCCCACCAAGGCGACGAUCCGUAGCUGGUCUGAGAGGAUGAUCAGCCACACUGGAACUGAGACACGGUACAGACUCCUACGAGAGGCAGCAGUGGGGAAUAUUGGACAAUGGGCGCAAGCCUGAUCCAGCCAUACCGCGUGGGUGAAGAAGGCCUUCGGGUUGUAAAGCCCUUUUGUUGGGAAAGAAAAGCAGCAGGUUAAUACCCCGCUGUUCUGACGGUACCCAAAGAAUAAGCACCGGCUAACUUCG